CGGUCUCAGUUCGGAUUGAAGGCUGAAAUUCGCCUUCAUGAAGCUGGAAUUGCUAGUAAUGGCAGGUCAGCAUACUGCCGUGAAUACGUUCCCGGGCCUUGUACGCACCGCCCGUCACACCAUGGGAGUCGGUAACACCCGAAGUCGGUAGCCUAACCGUAAGGAGGGCGCCGCCGAAGGUGGGAUUGAUGACUGGGGUGAAGUCGUAACAAGGUAUC
rnacentral:rRNA from 1 species